rnacentral:lncRNA from 1 species
AACACAUUGUUCAGUUUGGCUCCCACUUGCCACUUGCUCUCCGGGUCUCAAAAUGCUGCCAUCCACCUGCCCUGCACAGGGAGCCUCACUCAUCCACUCACUGCCACCAGUAAGCACCACCCUACACCCAGCACUGGUCCCUGAAUGGCCAGAGGGAAGACCACCCAGAACACUGGUGAAGGCAUUAAUCAGGGACCCAGUUCAAGCCAGGCCCUUCUGCUGCUCCCGCUCGGUGUCACUGUGAGGCACUGGGAGUGCCCAGGACACAGUGACCCAGGCCUGGACCUGCUGGCACGUCCUGGAUAGAGCAGGACUCACACCAGAGAGAUGAGGGCUUCGGGUAAGGACAGACCCGGGCUGGCUGGGCCGCAGAAUGUCAUCUCCUGCUAGCCGUGGCUUCCUCAUCACCAGAUCUAUAAAAACAACUUCCCACGGCCGUGAGGGCUCGAGUGAGAUAGCACAGAGGAAAUGCUUCCCCACUUGUAAAACUCUCUCUGUGGGCCACUAUCGUGCCUGGCUGCCACACUUCCUCUCCGCUCCAACUAAGGCCUCGCUGUUCACAUGCAGGCAGCUCCCCGAGGAGGUUGUGGGGCCAGGAUACAGGGCCUUGUAGACGAGCAAGAAUGCAUGGUCUCAGGGGGAUGGGAAGCCUUCUGAGCGCUUCCUCCAGACAGUGCCGGAGAAGGGGCCUGGCUGCUCCUUGCCCCGGCUGCGGGCCAGCGUCCAGUCUGCUAUGUCUCUAGCAUGUGCCCCUCUGAGAUCAGUGAGAGCCCCAGUCAUGCAUCCCCAGGGGUCCUGUAACAGAGGACCACACACCGGGGGGCUUCAAACAACAGAAAUGCAUCCUUGCACACUUCCAGAGGCCAGGAGUCCUAAGGCAUCGGCAGGGCUGACUCCUUCUGGGGUCUCCGAGGGAGAAUUCCACUCCAUCCGCUCCCAGCUGCUGCUGGCCCCGGCUCUUCUCUGCUUAUGGACACUUCAGUCCACUCUGCCUCUGCUGUCCCAUGGAUUUUCUCUUCUAAGAACACUUGUCAUUGAAUUCACAGCCCUCCCUACUUCAGAACAAUCUCAUCGCAACAUCCUUAACUGAAUCACACCUACAAAGACCCUUUUUCCAGAUGAGGCCACUCUCACAGUCUCUGGGCCGUGGGCUUAUUUUUUGGGGCUGCCAUUCAACCCCCCUCAUCACACUCUCACACUUUCUGAGCUGAGAUCCACAGUAAGGAAUACACUGUUUCAUCUUCGCCCUAGGCACAUACUCUCAUCCGCAGCUGAAAUGCAGUUUCAGAAUGUGAAUCCUUAUUUCACGUUCUGUGUGGUGAUGUUUUCUGUUUUCUCUCUUGCCUCCUCCUCAGCAUUGGCUACACACCCACUAAUUGAUUCCCAGAGCUCACAGCCUGGAUCAAAGUUGUUUCUUUGUUUUGUUUGUUUGUUUGUUUGUUUGUUUAGAGACAGAGUCUUGCUCAGUUGCCCAGGCUGGAAUGCAGUGGUGCAAUCACAGCUCACUGCAGCCUCAACCUCCUGGGCUCAAGUGAUCCUCUUGCCUCGGCCUCCCGAGUAGCUGGGACUACAAGUGCAUGCCAUCAUACUUGGCUAAUAUUUUCAAAAUUUUCCUAAGGCUGGGCGCGGUGGCUCACGCCUGUAAUCCCAGCACUUUGGGAGGCCGAGGCAGGUGGAUCACCUGAGGUCGGGAGUUUGAGUCCAGCCUGACCAACAUGGAGAAACCCCAUCUCUACUAAAAAUACAAAAUUAGCUGGGCAUGGUGGCACAUGCCUGUAAUCCCAGCUACUAGGGAGGCUGAGGCAGGAGAAUCACUUGAACCUGGGAGGCAGAGGUUGUGGUGAGCCGAGAUCGUGCCAUUGCACCCCAGCCUGGGCAACAAGAGCGAAACUCCAUCUCG